rnacentral:rRNA from 1 species
UACGUAGGGUGCAAGCGUUGUCCGGAAUUAUUGGGCGUAAAGAGCUCGUAGGCGGUUCGUCGCGUCGGCUGUGAAAACCUGAGGCUCAACCUCGGGUCUGCAGUCGAUACGAGCAAACUAGAGUGUUGCAGGGGAGACUGGAAUUCCUGGUGUAGCGGUGAAAUGCGCAGAUAUCAGGAGGAACACCGGUGGCGAAGGCGGUUCUCUGGGCAUGUCCUGACGGCUGAGGAGCGAAAGUGUGGGGAGCGAACAGG